AGCAGCCGCGGUAAUUCCAGCUCCAAUAGCGUAUAUUAAAGUUGCUGCAGUUAAAAAGCUCGUAGUUGAAUUUCGGGACCAAUAUGUCGGUCGUGCCUCGGUACGUACUGGCAUCGUUGGUUUCUCCCUUCUGACGAACCAUGAUGUCAUUUAUUUGGUGUCGUGGGGAAUCAGGACUGUUACUUUGAAAAAAUUAGAGUGUUUAAAGCAGGCUCACGCUUGAAUACAUUAGCAUGGAAUAAUGAAAUAGGACGUUUGAUUCUAUUUUGUUGGUUUCUAGGAUCGACGUAAUGAUUAAUAGGGAUAGUUGGGGGCAUUAGUAUUCAAUUGUCAGAGGUGAAAUUCUUGGAUUUAUUGAAGACUAACUACUGCGAAAGCAUUUGCCAAGGAUGUUUUCAUUAAUCAAGAACGAAAGUUAGGGGAUCGAAGACGAUCAGAUACCGUCGUAGUCUUAACCAUAAACUAUGCCGACUAGGGAUCGGAUGAUGUUAAUUUUUAAUGACUCAUUCGGCGUCCG
rnacentral:rRNA from 1 species